GAUGAACGCUAGCUACAGGCUUAACACAUGCAAGUCGAGGGGCAGCGGGAUUGAAGCUUGCUUCAAUUGCCGGCGACCGGCGCACGGGUGAGUAACGCGUAUCCAACCUUCCGUACACUCAGGGAUAGCCUUUCGAAAGAAAGAUUAAUACCUGAUGGUAUCUUAAGCACACAUGUAAUUAAGAUUAAAGAUUUAUCGGUGUACGAUGGGGAUGCGUUCCAUUAGGUAGUAGGCGGGGUAACGGCCCACCUAGCCAACGAUGGAUAGGGGGUUCUGAGAGGAAGGUCCCCCACAUUGGAACUGAGACACGGUCCAAAACUCCUACGGGAGGCAGCAGUGAGGAAUAUUGGUCAAUGGACGAGAGUCUGAACCAGCCAAGUAGCGUGCAGGAUGACGGCCCUAUGGGUUGUAAACUGCUUUAUAAGGGAAUAAAGUGGGAGUCGUGACUCUUUUUGCAUGUACCUUAUGAAUAAGGACCGGCUAAUUCCGUGCUAGCAGCCGCGGU
rnacentral:rRNA from 1 species